rnacentral:misc_RNA from 1 species
GAUGAAGAACGUAGCGAAAUGCGAUACGUAAUGUGAAUUGCAAAUUCAGUGAAUCAUCGAGUCUUUGAACGCACAUUGCGCCCCCUGGUAUUCCGGGGGGCAUGCCUGUCCGAGCGUCAUUGCUGCCCUCAAGCACGGCUUGUGUGUUGGGCCCCGUCCUCCGAUCCCGGGGGACGGGCCCGAAAGGCAGCGGCGGCACCGCGUCCGGUCCUCGAGCGUAUGGGGCUUUGUCACCCGCUCUGUAGGCCCGGCCGGCGCUUGCCGAUCAACCCAAAUUUUUAUCCAGGUUGACCUCGGAUCAGGUAGGGAUACCCGCUGAACUUAAGCAUAUCAAGCGGAGGA